rnacentral:rRNA from 1 species
UACAGAGGGGGCAAGCGUUAUUCGGAAUUAUUGGGCGUAAAGGGCGCGUAGGCGGCCUUGCAAGUGGAAGGUGAAAUCCCUCGGCUUAACCGAGGAACUGCCUUCCAGACUGCUAGGCUUGAGACCGGGAGAGGUGAGUGGAAUUCCCAGUGUAGCGGUGAAAUGCGUAGAUAUUGGGAGGAACACCAGUGGCGAAGGCGGCUCACUGGACCGGUACUGACGCUGAUGCGCGAAAGCGUGGGGAGCAAACGUG